rnacentral:rRNA from 1 species
GGGUAGCGUAACACGUGAGCAACCUACCGAAAUGAGGGGGAUAGCCGGCCCAACGGCCGGGUAAUACCGCAUACGCUAGAGACCAGGCAUUUGGACUCUAGGAAACCUCCGGGGCAUUUCGAGGGGCUCGCGGCCUAUCAGCUAGUUGGUGAGGUAACGGCUCACCAAGGCGACGACGGGUAGCUGGUCUGAGAGGAUGUCCAGCCACACUGGGACUGAGACACGGCCCAG